UACGGAGGAUCCACGCGUUAUCCGGAAUCCUUGGGUUUAAAGGGUCCGUAGGCGGCCUUAUAAGUCAGUGGUGAAAUCUCACGGCUCAACCGUGAAAUGGCCAUUGAUACUGUAGGGCUUGAAUUACCAGGAAGUAACUAGAAUAUGUAGUGUAGCGGUGAAAUGCUUAGAUAUUACAUGGAAUACCGAGUGCGAAGGCAGGUUACUACUGGUGGAUUGACGCUGAUGGACGAAAGCGUGGGUAGCGAACAGG
rnacentral:rRNA from 1 species